CACGUAGGGGGCGAGCGUUGUCCGGAUUUAUUGGGCGUAAAGAGCGUGUAGGCGGCCAGGUAGGUCUGCUGUGAAAACUCGAGGCUCAACCUCGAGACGUCGGCGGAAACCAUCUGGCUAGAGUCCGGAAGAGGAGAGUGGAAUUCCUGGUGUAGCGGUGAAAUGCGCAGAUAUCAGGAAGAACACCCGUGGCGAAGGCGGCUCACUGGUCCGGUACUGACGCUGAUGUGCGAAAGCGUGGGGAGCAAACAGG
rnacentral:rRNA from 1 species